CAGCCGCCGCGGGAAUACGGAGGGUGCAAGCGUUGUCCGGAUUUAUUGGGUUUAAAGGGUGCGUAGGCGGCUAUUUAAGUCAGCGGUGAAAGACUCCGGCUCAACCGGAGCAGUGCCAUUGAUACUGGAUAGCUUGAGUGUUGGAGGGGUACAUGGAAUUGAUGGUGUAGCGGUGAAAUGCAUAGAUACCAUCAGGAACACCGAUAGCGAAGGCAUUGUACUGGCCAACAACUGACGCUGAGGCACGAAAGCAUGGGGAGCAAACAGGAUUAGAUACCCGGGUAGUCCCUGUCUCUUAUAC
rnacentral:rRNA from 1 species